GACGAACCUUGCUAACGUUGUUCGGAAUUACUGGGCUUAAAGGGUGCGUAGGCGGUGCAGCAAGUCGGGUGUGAAAUCCCUCAGCUCAACUGAGGAACGGCGCCCGAAACUGCUGUGCUCGAGGAAGAUAGAGGUACGCGGAACUUAGGGUGGAGCGGUGAAAUGCGUUGAUAUCCUAAGGAACACCGGUGGCGAAAGCGGCGUACUGGGUCUUUUCUGACGCUGAGGUGCGAAAGCCAGGGGAGCGAACGGG
rnacentral:rRNA from 1 species